GACCUCCGAUCAAGCAAAAGGACCCGCUGAAUUUAAC
rnacentral:rRNA from 1 species